rnacentral:tRNA from 1 species
AAGAUUUUAAGUUAAAAUAAAAGAAACUAUUAAUCUUCAAAAUUAAUAAUAAUGUACACUGAUUAAAUCUUA